CGACCGCCACAUGAACCUUGUUCUCGGCGACUGCGAGGAGUUCCGCAAGCUUCCUCCGGCCAAGGGCAAGAAGCCCGCCGAAGGCGGCGACCGUGAGGACCGCCGCACGCUCGGUCUUGUACUCCUCCGCGGCGAGGAGGUCAUUUCCAUGACCGUCGAGGGACCACCUCCGCCGGAAGAGUCUCGCUCAAAGGCCGUCAGUGCCGCCGCACUCGCCGGCCCUGGCAUCGGUCGUGCCGCCGGAAGAGGCAUUCCUCCCGCUCCCGUUGUCCAGGCCCAGCCUGGUCUCGCC
rnacentral:lncRNA from 1 species